UGAAGUGAUUGACCAAUUAUGGAUGAAGAGUUGCUGGAGCUGGCAGAUCAUCUCAAUGAGAUCUCUCAGAAACUCUGACUAUUUGUGAGGCUGUUGUGUAUGUCCACAGAUCAGAGGAGAGACAACCACACCUAUACCCAUAGUGAUCGAUACUUGCUACCAGCCAACCAGUAAUAAUCAUGUUCAUCAACUAAUGGUAGUAGGGCCUCCAUCAAAGCUACGACCCUUAAUUCUUAAUGUUUAUUGUAGAGUGUAUCUUUACCGUCUGUUGGGCUCAGUGUGAUUGUUGCUUAUCCAUUCUGAAGUCUUUACCAAAUCCACCCACCCUAGUACAGACUGUGUUUGUUGACUGAUGCAUAUACCAUUUGUACUUCAUUUUACGUGUAUUCUUUACAGUAGGUUUUUCACCACGGUAGAGAGGUUAAUUGUCCUUGCAGAUUGUAACUAGUCCAACUUUGAAGUCAAUUAACCGUACUGUCUGCAACAACCAAAUUAAGGUUCUAAUGAAUGUGUCCACUAGCUAGCUACCACCACUAAAAUUAAUCUGAUUAGAGCCUUGCUUCACUUGGAAUUAUUUUGCAUAGGAAAUUUGUAGGGUCCUUCGUUAUUGUUCCACUGUAUUUCACUAUCUCUCCCCCCCCCUCAGGUACUAUGUGGCUGAGGAGACCUGGAGGGUGGUCACACAGACCAGGGGAGUGCAGCUGGUCAAGCAGCACAUCCACAAAGACUUAAGUGUCCCAGUCCUCCCGCGCCCCGUAUAUCUUUUUCAAAACUCAAUCGUGUGGUUCACUGGCCCCCGAAAUGAGGAGGGGAGGAUGUAUGGACUCACACUAUCACAAGCCAGGAGAGCUGUGGGAGAAGAAGGGUUGCCAGUGUUUGCCAGUUACUGAGUGAGUGAGCUGUAUCUUCUAUGGACUGAGCAGUGACAAUGCCUGGUGCAUGCAGUCUGUUGGAGUGGACUGUCUCACCUCACUCUGUCAGCUGCUGGGGAGAAUGAUCCUCAGAGGGAGAAUAGAACAACAUAAUCCAAUGUAUCUGGACAGUUUGACAGAACAGUAACUGUAGCUUCCCUCAAUGUUGUGCAUAUUAUUAUACAUUUUUAUUAACAAACAUUAUUAUGUAAUUGCUAUAAUAAUUACAGUAACUGUUUAAAAUAAUGGUUAGCACUGUACAG